rnacentral:rRNA from 1 species
CCUACGGGAGGCAGCAGUGGGGAAUAUUGGGCAAUGGGCGCAAGCCUGACCCAGCAACGCCGCGUGAAGGAAGAAGGCCCUCGGGUUGUAAACUUCUUUUAACAGGGACGAAAAACGUGACGGUACCUGUUGAAUAAGCCACGGCUAACUACGUGCCAGCAGCCGCGGUAAUACGUAGGUGGCAAGCGUUAUUCGGAUUUACUGGGUGUAAAGGGCGUGUAGGCGGGGAAGCAAGUAAGACGUGAAAUUCCAGGGCUUAAACCUGGAACUGCGUUUUAAACUGUUAUUCUUGAGUGAAGGAGAGGAAGGCGGAAUUCCGUGUGUAGCGGUGGAAUGCGUAGAUAUAAGGAGGAACACCAGUGGCGAAGGCGGCCUGCUGGACAGUAACUGACGCUGAGGCGCGAAAGCGUGGGGAGCAAACAGGAUUAGAUACCCGUGUAGUC